ACAAGCUUUCGGGAGAACCUCCCUUUCUCAAGUCUGAAGCAUGGUCGUUUUGCUCAGAAAUGCUUCAAUCUUGAGAAAGGGAGGUUCUCCCGAAAGCUUG